UCAGAUAUGGUGUAGCGAGAACACGGCUCCUUACCAUGUUUCAACUGGUAUUUCUGUUCCAGAGGCAAUCCAGGGUUCGAAUCCCUGUGUCUGUG